rnacentral:rRNA from 1 species
GGCGAACGCUGGCGGCAGGCCUAACACAUGCAAGUCGAACGAAGUCUUCGGACUUAGUGGCGGACGGGUGAGUAACACGUGGGAACGUGCCUUUAGGUUCGGAAUAACUCAGGGAAACUUGUGCUAAUACCGAAUGUGCCCUUCGGGGGAAAGAUUUAUCGCCUUUAGAGCGGCCCGCGUCUGAUUAGCUAGUUGGUGGGGUAAUGGCCCACCAAGGCUACGAUCAGUAGCUGGUCUGAGAGGAUGACCAGCCACAUUGGGACUGAGACACGGCCCAAACUCCUACGGGAGGCAGCAGUGGGGAAGCUUGCGCAAUGGGCGAAAGCCUGACGCAGCCAUGCCGCGUGGAUGAUGAAGGUCUUAGGAUUGUAAAAUCCUUUCACCGGUGAAGAUAAUGACUGUAGCCGGAGAAGAAGCCCCGGCUAACUUCGUGCCAGCCGCCGCCGUAACAC